GACGAACGCUGGCGGCGUGGAUUAGGCAUGCAAGUCGAACGGUAUCAUCCUUUCGGGGGUGAGAGAGUGGCGAACUGGUGAGUAACACGUAGGUUAUCUACCCUCAAGACGGGGACAACCCAGGGAAACUUGGGCUAAUACCGGAUGUGAGCAACUUUUAGUUGUUUGAAAGGUGGCGUAAGCUGUCGCUUGGGGAUGAGCCUGCGUCCUAUUAGUUAGUUGGUGAGGUAACGGCUCACCUAGGCAAUGAUAGGUAGGCGGCCUUAACGGGUGGUCGCCCACACUGGGAUUGAGAUACGGCCCAGACUCCUACGGGAGGCAGCAGUCGAGAAUAGUCUACAAUGGUCGGAAGACUGAUAGUGCGACGCCGCGUGAACGAUGAAUCCCUUCGGGUGUAAAGUUCUUUUAUAUGUGAGCAGUGCUUCUUAUAUUAACAGUAUGGGGAGAGAGAUAUUAGCAUAGUAAUAAGCAACGGCUAACUCCGUGCCAGCAGCCGCGGUAGG
rnacentral:rRNA from 1 species